UGCCAGCAGCCGCGGUAAUACGGAGGGGGUUAGCGUUGUUCGGAAUUACUGGGCGUAAAGCGCACGUAGGCGGAUCAGAAAGUUGGGGGUGAAAUCCCAAGGCUCAACCUUGGAACUGCCCUCAAAACUGCCAGUCUUGAGUCCGGAAGAGGUGAGUGGAAUUCCUAGUGUAGAGGUGAAAUUCGUAGAUAUUAGGAAGAACACCAGUGGCGAAGGCGGCUCACUGGCUCGGUACUGACGCUGAGGCGCGAAAGCGUGGGGAGCAAACAGGAUUAGAUA
rnacentral:rRNA from 1 species